CAUUUGACUUUAAACUCUCUGAACUGCAACAUGAGGCUAAGAUGGUUGACAUUCCUUUGUUCCAGGCUCCCCUUUUAGAUGCAGUGAGACAGGACAAGGACUGUCCUGUUAUCACACAGAGAACCGGAAGAGCUGUCCUGGCAGUGCUGGGGAGUGCUGUAUUGGAGCCUGAAGGAAAAGGAAAAUGAGCUGCAGAGCCCCUCAGGAGGCAUCACCAUUGUUUCACGGAGUUGAGGAAAUUUGAAUGCAGAGAGGUCAGUGCCUCACCACAAGUCUUAGAACAAGCAGGACUGGAACCUAUGACUUCUGGGUCGUGAGU
rnacentral:lncRNA from 1 species